UCAGAUGAGCAUCUUCAUCCUGACUGAGGCUCAGAAGGUGAGAUUCUUCCAUCCAUGGGCUUCUGCUUAAAAUUCUCUUCUUUCUUCGGUGAAAAUUGUCUUCUGAAGCCAACAUGAAACAUUAUUUCUUUCUGAAGUCUGCAGAUUAACUUGAAUAGGUUAAUAUUUUGCUUUCAUCUCAAAGAAAUGUCUCUGUCCUAGAUUAGUACUUAGCAGAAAACAGCAUUCAGUGUAACAUAUGCAUGUGAAUGUGAUAAUGAAUUUUAUCUGGUGGAUGGAGGCCCUUGUGUUCCUAUAGAAAACAUAUAAACAAGUGAAAUGCAGACUGAGCAUCAGCUUGCAAAGGGUGUAACAGUGAUUGUGUUAGUAACUUUGGAGGGAAUCUGGAGAAAAUUAUGAAACAAUGAAACUUGUUAGCAGGUGGGGAUUUUUUUCACAUGGGGGACACAUAUGUAAGCCUAUGUUCAUUUCUGUGAUCGGGACACAGGUGGUUUUGCCAGAAAUAUAUGGUGGGUUUGUUUUGUUUUGUUUUGUUUUGUUUUUUGGCGUGUGGAUAAGUAGUAUAAAAUUUUCUCAAAAGUCCUCAACUUAUCUUUCUACAACUGAAUUCACUUACACAACUUUAUUAUUAUGUACAGUCUUACAUGUUAUUCCCAUACACAUUAUUUUUACCAUGUUACUAUUACAUAAGGUAAUUCAACUCAUUAUUUUUUAUGCUGCAUUUGUAUAUUCUUUUAAUUUUUAUUGAUUGUGUUACAUCCCAUUUGAAGCCUCCCCUCCCUUCCAAUUGUAUUGAAUUCUGAUCAUGGAAUCACAGACUCAAACUCGUCUCUUUCAUGUCUGUAUUCAUAUGUAAAACUCACGGUGUGUUAAAAUGUGUGUUAUUGUAUUCCUGAUCUACUGAACCAAUAAAGACGUAGCUUCAGUACAAAAUGUAUCUCAAGGCGGAGUAAUUCAAAAAGUAUAAAAUAACAUUCUGAGUUACUGUACAUGCAUUGUUUUCCAGACAAUGUUCCUGUGGUGUGAUAGAAUAGUGUCUCGCUUAUCAAGUGAAGAAAUUGUCUCAAAUCAAUUGGUAAGUGUGGACAAUAGAACAGAGCCCAGAGAAGAGUAGUGACCUACCUAAUCAAGACUCUAGGGCCCUGUAAAGCCCUCUCCAUGUCUGUUCGUGGUAAAUCCCUGAAAACCUCUGAGGAAGUGGCUCUUCAGAUCAUUUUGCUUUGCCAGUUUGGGGUUGGGACCAUGGCCAAUGACUUUCUGUUUGUCCAUAAUUUCUCUCCAGUCUUGACUGGUUCUAAACAGAGGCCCAGACAGGUGAUUUUAAGCCACAUGGCUGUGGCCAAUGCCUUGACUCUAUUCCUCACUGUAUUUCCAAACAACAUGAUGGCUUUCGCUCCAAGAAACCCUCCAACUGAACUGAAAUGUAAAUUAAAAUUCUUCAGUCACCUGGUGACAAGAAGCACAAAUUUGUGUUCCACCUGUGUCCUGAGUGUCCAUCAGUUUGUCACUCUGGUUCCUAUUAGUAGAGGUAAACUACUCAGAGCAAGUGUCCCAAAUUUGGUGAGUUAUUCUUGUUACGGUUGUUGGUUUUUCAGUGUCUUAAGUAACAUUCACAUUCCAAUUAAAGUCACUGGUCCACAGAUAACAGACAAUAACACUGACUCUAAAAGCAAGUUUUUCUGUUCCACUUCUGGAUUCACUGUAAGAAUUGUCUUCUUGCAGUUUUCCCAUGAUGCCACAUUCAUGAGCAUCAUGGUCUGGACCAGUGUCUCCAUGGUACUUCUCCUCCAUAGACAUCGCCAGUGAAUGCAGCACAUCCUCACUCCCAAUCAGGAUGCCAGAGGCCAAGCUGAGUCCAGAGCAACCCAUACUAUCCUGAUGCUGGUGGUCACAUUUGUUAGCUUUUAUCUUCUAAAUUUUAUUUGCAUCAUCUUUCAUACCUUUUUUAUACAUUAUAAUUUAUUCAUACGGCUUCUUGGUGAGAUUUUGGCUGCAGGUUUCCCUACUAUUUCUCCCUUACUGUUGAUCUUCAGAGAUCCUAAGAAUCCUUGUCUUGAGCUCUUCCACUGUUUUAAACCAGAGUCGCUACAAAAUUUGAAACACAGAAGACAGCUUCACUAAUACCAUUAAGUACUUCAUUUCAUAAAUAUGUUUUCAAUAUCUUGUAUGAACAAGGUGUGGUGCUCACUGCUGUAAUUUUAAAAGAGUUCAUAUUUGUUGAUAUAAAAUGAUUUCUGGUUGGAAUCUGCCUGACAGAGUAAAUGAAUUACUCAUGACCCUCUCUUCUCUUGUA